rnacentral:rRNA from 1 species
GAUGAACGCUAGCGGCAGGCCUAACACAUGCAAGUCGAGGGAGAAGCCCUUUCGGGGGCAGAAACCGGCGCACGGGUGCGUAACGCGUAUGCAACCUACCUUUCACAGGGGGAUAGCCCGAAGAAAUUUGGAUUAAUACCCCAUAAUAUUAUUAGAUGGCAUCAUUUGAUAAUUAAAACUGCGGUGGUGAAAGAUGGGCAUGCGUCCUAUUAGCUAGUUGGAGUGGUAACGGCACCCCAAGGCUACGAUAGGUAGGGGUCCUGAGAGGGAGAUCCCCCACACUGGUACUGAGACAGGGACCAGACUCCUACGGGAGGCAGCAGUGAGGAAUAUUGGUCAAUGGUCGGAAGACUGAACCAGCCAUGCCGCGUGCAGGAAGAAUGCCUUAUGGGUUGUAAACUGCUUUUAUAUGGGAAGAAUAAGGUGUACGUGUACAUUGAUGACGGUACCAUAUGAAUAAGCAUCGGCUAACUCCGUG